GGAUGCGAGGGUGAUCUGGUUGCAAUCUGUCACCCCUUGAUCGCCGGGGCUGAUUCAGCUGAUCUGGCUGGCUAGGCGGGUGUCCCCUUCCUCCCUCACUGCUCACCACGUGCAUCCCUCCUGAAGCUCCAAGCUCGGUCAAAGAGGACAACCACCCCCAGUAGAGGAGGACCGGUCUUCCGUCAAGGGUAGGGGAGUAGCUGGGGUUCCCUGCUGCUCUCCAGAGGGAGGGGAUAUAAUGAUACACAGAGCUGAUCCACUCCAGCCAUUCUUGUCUGGAGAAUCCCACGGACAGAGGAGCCUAGCUGGCUGCAGU
ensembl:misc_RNA 7SK 7SK RNA